rnacentral:rRNA from 1 species
UACGUAGGGUGCGAGCGUUGUCCGGAUUUAUUGGGCGUAAAGAGCUCGUAGGCGGCUUGUUGCGUCGACCGUGAAAACCCGUGGCUCAACUGCGGGCUUGCGGUCGAUACGGGCGGGCUAGAGUUCGGUAGGGGAGACUGGAAUUCCUGGUGUAGCGGUGAAAUGCGCAGAUAUCAGGAGGGAACACCCCGUGGCGAAGGCGGCCCCUCUGGCUCGACCCCUGACGCUGGAGGCGCGAAAAGCGUGGGGGAGCGAACGGGG